rnacentral:rRNA from 1 species
AGUGGCGAACGGGUGAGUAACACGUGAGUAACCUGCCCUUGACUCUGGGAUAACUGCUAGAAAUGGUAGCUAAUACCGGAUACGACCCUCGGCGGCAUCGCCAGGGGGUGGAAAGAAUUUCGGUCAAGGAUGGACUCGCGGCCUAUCAGCUAGUUGGUGAGGUAACGGCUCACCAAGGCGACGACGGGUAGCCGGCCUGAGAGGGUGACCGGCCACACUGGGACUGAGACACGGCCCAGACUCCUACGGGAGGCAGCAGUGGGGAAUAUUGCACAAUGGGCGCAAGCCUGAUGCAGCAACGCCGCGUGAGGGAUGACGGCCUUCGGGUUGUAAACCUCUUUUAGUAGGGAAGAAGCGAAAGUGACGGUACCUGCAGAAAAAGCACCGGCUAACUACGUGCCAGCAGCCGCGGUAAUACGUAGGGUGCAAGCGUUGUCCGGAAUUAUUGGGCGUAAAGAGCUCGUAGGCGGUUUGUCGCGUCUGCUGUGAAAUCCCGAGGCUCAACCUCGGGCCUGCAGUGGGUACGGGCAAACUAGAGUGUGGUAGGGGAGAUUGGAACUCCUGGUGUAGCGGUGGAAUGCGCAGAUAUCAGGAAGAACACCGAUGGCGAAGGCAGAUCUCUGGGCCAUUACUGACGCUGAGGAGCGAAAGCGUGGGGAGCGAACAGGAUUAGAUACCCUGGUAGUCCACGCCGUAAACG